NNUGGGUUCUGCCUCCUGUAUUCAGAUUUCUCUCUUCCACUCCUCCUAUGCUUGGGUCUGUUUCUUCCUGGAAGAAGAAACCCCUGUGGGGUGGGGGAGUGUCUCAUUACCCUGCUCCUCUUUCUCGGGUUUUUUUUCCCAGAGUGUCUCAAAUCAGCAUCAUCAGCCUUGGAGCUUCCGUUGUGGCAAUGGUUGUAUGGUUUCAAGUCUCCUGGUGUUGACGCAGAGGAUGACAGAUUGAGCGGCCCCUGGGAAGAUGCUUCUCUGUGCAGAGAGGUUCCACAAAUGUCUGUUUCAUGGGCACACGAUUGUCAUUUGGCUCCAGACAAGGAAUGAAUGUGCUGUUCAUGGCAGCAGAGGCACUCUGGUCUUCUUGGCCUUUCCAA
rnacentral:lncRNA from 1 species